CCGACUCCUGACUGACAUGUCUGCAUGUUGUGUGUUUUUUUCUGUGCAGGGUAAGAGAUUGGUCAGCCUGGACGCCUGCAAGGCUCUGCCCAGCCCUUUACCUCAUCUCUGACAGCAGCCACUGGAGCAGGACAAAAUACUUACACGGGGGUGCACUACGGAUGUGGUACCAUACAGAAAGACCUCACCAUUUCCAUGCAGGAAUAAAAGAACCAGAUGUGGAAGCAGAUCAUAAAACUGCUCUGCCCAGAUCUGCAGGGGAAUCAAACAGAUGGCAGAUCCCACUGCAAUUUGGAUGAAGAUUUCAUAGCUAGAUAAUCAAGAAAAUAGUAAAGUGGUU
rnacentral:lncRNA from 1 species